CUAGCAGCGAUCUGGUGGGUGGUCUGGAAGGAUAGAAAUAACUCUACCUUUCGUGGAUCGUUACCCAUUGCUUCCUGGUCGCUAGAGUGCGUCAAACUUCUCACGAGUAGCUGGUCAGCCGUACUCUGAAGCAAUCCUUUAUUUUCUCUCAUUUUUUUCUUUUUUCUUUCUUUUCUUCCCCCGCCUCCACCCUCUUCAUUUGCUUGUUACUUGCCCCCCGUUUUUUUUGCCUGUAUUUCGGAAGCCCUAGCUGCUUUCAACAUGUACGUUCAGUUUAUUUAACUUAAUGAAUGAAAUAUGUAACUUGUUAUCUAUUUCUCAAAAAAAAAAAAUAAUAGGUGGCAGUUUUUAUCGAUUUGAAUAAGGAUAAAAAGUUUUGU
rnacentral:lncRNA from 1 species